UACGUAGGCAGCGAGCGUUGUUCGGAAUUACUGGGCGUAAAGAGUGUGUAGGCGGUGCUCUAAGUUCGGUGUGAAAUCUCCUGGCUCAACUGGGAGGGUGCGCCGGAAACUGGAGUGCUUGAGCGUGGGAGAGGAAAGCGGAAUUCCUGGUGUAGCGGUGAAAUGCGCAGAUAUCAGGAGGAACACCGGUGGCGAAGGCGGGACUCUGGGCCGAUACUGACGCUGAGGAGCGAAAGCGUGGGGAGCAAACAGG
rnacentral:rRNA from 1 species